rnacentral:rRNA from 1 species
GAUGAACGCUGGCGGCGUGCCUAAUACAUGCAAGUCGAGCGAACAGACGAGGAGCUUGCUCCUCUGACGUUAGCGGCGGACGGGUGAGUAACACGUGCAUAACCUACCUAUAAGACUGGGAUAACUUCGGGAAACCGGAGCUAAUACCGGAUAAUAUAUUGAACCGCAUGGUUCAAUAGUGAAAGACGGUUUUGCUGUCACUUAUAGAUGGAUCCGCGCCGCAUUAGCUAGUUGGUAAGGUAACGGCUUACCAAGGCAACGAUGCGUAGCCGACCUGAGAGGGUGGUCGGCCACACUGGAACUGAGACACGGUCCAGACUCCUACGGGAGGCAGCAGUAGGGAAUCUUCCGCAAUGGGCGAAAGCCUGACGGAGCAACGCCGCGUGAGUGAUGAAGGUCUUCGGAUCGUAAAACUCUGUUAUUAGGGAAGAACAAAUGUGUAAGUAACUAUGCACGUCUUGACGGUACCUAAUCAGAAAGCCACGGCUAACUACGUG